CGGGGCGUGGCGCAGCGGUUUAGCGCGCAUGGUUCGGGACCAUGAGGUCGUGGGUUCAAAUCCCACCGCCCCGA
rnacentral:tRNA from 1 species